ensembl:lncRNA
CCUUUUAUAGAAGCUGGAUGCUUUGGGAAAUGGCUCUCCAAUGGAUGUCUGUCAGUGGAUCUCUGGACCCAUCUGUGGACCCGAAAGCUUGUCUCAGUCUCACUUCAGGCCACCUGUGAUGUGUCUCAAAGCACGUGUCCCGGUGCUCCAGGCUGGGGCCGGCAAGAUUCAUUUUGAGCUCAGGUGUGCCAUUUAUUAGGUAGCCUCCCACAGGUCACCUGGUCCUCAGUUUAUGUAUAAAUUAGACUAGAUUCUCCCUAAAGUUCUUUCUAAUUCUACAGGCUUUAUGACACUCCUUCCAACCUACCGAAGGAGAGCUGCUGGGUGAAGAGGAAGACUUAAAAAUCUUCCUCUUGUUGACGUCACCGUCUGCACUCCUUCCACAUGUGGGCAGUCUGCUGAAGCUCCUAUUAGCUCUGCCUCUGAGGGCCUCACCUUUGCUGCUGCUGACUGCGGGCCUGUGGAUGCUGUCUGGGGCCCACCGCUGUUGCUAGCCUUGGCCUCUGGUUAAAAGGCCCGCACUCCCUGCAGUCUCCUCAUCCCACCCCGAGGCCGCCACAGGUCACCGGCUGAGGGCACCCGUGGUGGGAAGCCCCAUGGACUGCUGGGCAGUGCCAUUUGCAGGGCUUGGACUAGGAUACGACCGCGGGAUUUUCAUCCUGGCUUACCUUUCACCCAAUGCUCCGUGUAGCUCUCCUGCCGUCUGAGGGAUAACGUGCAGGCGGCUCCCUCGGUGGAAGGUGGCCUGCACAUCAUCGUGGUGUCUCCUGAAGCAUAAGUCAAAAUCCAGUUGCCAAGACUAGACUGUGUUGUAGACCACUCGGGUUAGUUUUUGGCUUGAUGGACGCUUACAGCUGAGCCUUUCCACUUCUGUCUGUAUCUGGAGGCCGUGGAGGCCCCCAAAGUAGUGGGUGCCAAGCACGAGUGAGCACUCGCACUGAUUUCCUUCCCCGGCAUGUUGCGUUUGGUCGCUGUGCUGUGACAGCAUGUGCCCUCCCGUUCCCCACGGCCUAAACCCGCGCUCUCCACCUUCUCUUACGUACCUGAACUUCACGGCUCCUGACAGCAUCUGUGUCCAGCCUUGACCCCAGGCACUUCCUGAUAAGCCUGACGUUUGGAUCAGAGCUGUCAGCUCGUACACACCACCAGACCACAUGUUCUGUGAGUCAGUGACUGUAUC